AUCUGUGGGAAGCUGGGAACCAAGCUGGUGAGCUCGGCUGCCAAGUAGGCCUUGCUGGCCCUGCUUUCCCCUGGGGCUGGGCAACCCCAGGCUCCUUCGUGACUCCUCAGAAUCUCGGACACCCCCUGAAUUCCACCCUGGUGGGCCAUUUGUGGUCUGUGCCCCAUCCAGGGCCUGAAAGAGGUGCACCAACCUCCUACAUGGAUUCCACAGAUCCUGAUUCAGACAGCGAGCACCCCGGACUAUAACGAUACCUGGGGGAAAUAGACAGAGUCUGCGCACCACCGAAUUCCAGCUGGUGGACUUCAGACCCGGGUUUGAAGCCUGGCUCUGCCACAUCCUGAUCAUGUGGACUUAGAUCACCUGAGUGAGUAAUCACAGAUGGCUGCUUGGAGGUGGCAAGAGAUGGACGGGGGGUUUCCAGUCUGUCAUCCCGGGUUCCAGCUUGUCCUGGUGGCUCCAGUUUGUCGUCACUCCCUCCCACUUCCCAUCCAUCCUUCCUUCUUGGUGGCUGCCCUGCUGACUUGAGGAUCCAGCGUCAAAUUCAAAGAAG
rnacentral:lncRNA from 10 species